UGGGCGCUUUGGGGCCCGAGGCCAGGAGAGGGAGUAGCCAGGCCAGGGGAUGGAAGAUGGAUGGGUUGGCCGGGCUCCAGGGCAGGUGUGAUUGUCCCUCCGCCAUUUGGCACCUCCCUUCUGCUGCAGAUAGAGCUGGCUCCUGCUGUUCCCCAGGCGUCUGCCUGGGCGUCCCUCACUGUCCCCACCCCAGCCCGCACCCCACUUCCCAUGCUCUCCUGUAGCUCUGAGCCUGGCUGCUGCGCUCAGACUUCCUGUAUAAACCUGCACGGAAUGGCUGAGACCUGCCGGGUCCAACUCUAGUUUCAUACUCUGGAGAUGCACGGGCCCCGCUGGCGCACGCUGGGUUGGUUCUUGGUGAGGCAGAAACUCCCAGGAAGGGAAGCGGCUCUGAGAAGCCCAGGCCUGACCUCCCUGGUCACUCGCGGGAGGAGAGUGGACUGCGCCCGCUCCCCGCACCCUGGCACUGGGCUGGGACCGGCCCUCGAGUGGCACCAGUGGCCUCAUCUCCUCUCAGGCUUCUCCUGCUCAGUGUCCAUCCCACAAGGCGACAGGUGUCCAGGUGUCCAGCGCCUGUGUCCAGGGGCCGGGCUGCAAGUGGAAAUGAGGGAGACAGAAUCCAGAGAGAGAAGGCACCUCUGCCAGGGCACAGCAGCUAGGCGGGAGCUCCGGAGGACGCACUUCUCAAGCCCACCUAGGAGUUCGUUUGUGCUUCUUGAAGCCACCCCAACUGUCAGGCACUUGAGUUGUUGCUGAAAUAAAUAAUGUUGCAGACCAAGUCCUUUAACGUAAACCUGCAUGAACCUGCCGUUUAUUUCCUCCAGUAAAUUCCAAAUAGAGGAGCUAGAGAGAGAUCAAAGGGUGUGGACACUUUCCAAACCCCUGGCAUCGAUCACUGGCCAGCCGGGGAAGGGUGUAAAUUCAGUGGUCUCUGUAGGCGAUGCAGCAUGGACGAGGGCUUGUUGCUCUCUGCAUUUGCAAACACCGGG
rnacentral:lncRNA from 1 species